rnacentral:misc_RNA from 1 species
GAUGAAGAACGCAGCGAAAUGCGAUAAGUAAUGUGAAUUGCAGAAUUCAGUGAAUCAUCGAAUCUUUGAACGCAUCUUGCGCUCCUUGGUAUUCUGAGGAGCAUGCCUGUUUGAGUGUCAUUUCAACCAUCAAGCCCCCGGCUUGUGUUGGGGACCUGCGGCUGCCGCAGGCCCUGAAAACCAGUGGCGGGCUCGCUAGUCACUCCGAGCGUAGUAAUACAUCUCGCUCAGGGCGUGCUGCGGGUUCCGGCCGUUAAAAAGCCUUAUUUACCCAAGGUUGACCUCGGAUCAGGUAGGAAGACCCGCUGAACUUAAGCAUAUCAAUAAGCGGAGGA